GUGCUUGUAGCUCAGUUGGAUAGAGCAACGGCCUUCUAAGCCGUGGGUCGCAGGUUCGAAUCCUGCCAGGCACACCA
rnacentral:tRNA from 1 species